GCGCUCGCUUCGGCAGCACAUAUUCUGAAACUGGAACGAUACAGUGAAGAUGAGCAUGGCUCCUGCGCAAGGAUGACAUGCAAAUUCAUGAAGCGUUCCAUAUUUAA
rnacentral:snRNA from 1 species